UGGCUCAGUUGUUAGAGCAUGGUGUUUGCAACGCCAGGGUUGUGGGUUCGUUUCCCAC
rnacentral:tRNA from 1 species